GAAAAGUGGUGACAAUUUGUUUCGGUCCCAAAUGACAAUCUGUGAUUGUUUUGAGAUCGUUCUGAGUUU